rnacentral:lncRNA from 10 species
GUUUGUUUGUAACAUGGAAGAACAACGGGCUGGUCGUGGUGGCUCAUGCCUGUAACCCCAGCACUUUGGGAGGCCCAGGAGGGCGGAUCACUUGAGGCCAGGAGUUUGAGAUCAGCCUGGCCAACAUGGUGAAGCCCCAUCUCUACUAAAAAAAUACAAAAAAAUAGCCAAGUGUGGUGGUGUGCACCUGUAGUCUCAGCUGCCAGGGAGGCUGAGGCACUAGAAUUGCUUGAACCCAGGAGGCAGAGGUUGCGGUGAGCCAAGAUCGUGCCACUGUACUCCAGAUUGGGCAACAGAGCCUCAAAAAAAAUAAAUAAAAAUAAAUGGGAACAACAAUAGCCAUCUUUUAGAGUUGCUGUCAGAAUUAAAGGAGAUAAUCAUACAAAGAACUAGCCCUUUCCAACUCACUGUAAAUCCUCAAUCCAUGUUAGCUUUUUGUAACAUUAAUAACAUAGCAAUAAUAAUUUGUAGCUUGAAUAAUAGUAAGUUGCCUAAAGAGAUGUAGCUAAGGAAGUCUGAGUUAGCCUUUGGACUCUGAACUGCCUCUGCAUUUAGCACACUGAUAUGCAGAGCAAGCUGUAUCCACACUGAUCUCAGUGUGCUGCAGUUUCAAAAGCUGUUCAGCUGGGAUCAAGGAAAGCAAUGACCGCCUACUCCCCAAAUCCUUUCUAUUUCGAAAUUCCCAGGUCAAUGAUGACCAUUGCCAGAGGGUCUCAGGAAGGUGGAAUCCACAUGGAGAGUUGGAAAAGGGAGGCCGAGGUGGGCAGAUCACCUGAAGUCAGGAGUUCAAGACCAGCCUGGCCACCAUGGCGAAACCUCGUCUCUACUAAAAAAUACAAAAAUUAGCUGGGUGUUGCAGUGGGUACCUGUAAUUCCAGCUACUUAGGAGGCUGAGGCAGGGAGAACUGCUUGAACCCAGAAAGCGGAGGUUGCAGUGAGCUGUGAUUGUGCCACUACACUCCAGCCUGCAACCCUGUCACAAAAAAAAAAAAAAAAAGAAAGAAAGAAAAAAAGAAAAAUGAGUGGGAACUGAGGAAGUCUAAAUAAAAUUCUAAACAGCAAGUAUAAACCUUUGUUUUUUCAAUGAAGAGGAAUCACUAGAGUGGACACAGGAGGAUGGUGGAAAUUGAAGACAGGUAAGAAUAGAACACAUUUAUUGACGGAGAGGAGGGAGCUAGCAGAAAGUAUGGUUAACAGAGAGAGAAAAUAAGUGAAGACCCCAGUCCUUAAGGAAGGACUGUGAGGAUGGGGCAAGAGGAGGGAAGGAAAAGCGUCACCUCUUCCACUGAGGGCUAGAAAGGAGGUGGAGACAAGUGCAUAGGCAUUUGCAUGUCUGAGCAGGGCUUUGAAGAGGGUAAAUGUCUAAAAGCCUCUAGCAUCUCAGAAAAGUUGAAGAUGAGGUUAUAUGCUACACUGGAGAGGAGUAGAGACAAGACUGGAAAAUUUGAGUGCAUGGCUUCAGGUCUGAAAUAAACAUUGGAAGGCGACAGAGAGGAAGUUGAACCAGUCUGUGUAGAAGGAUGUGAGCACUGGGAUUUCAAAGACGAGGUUUGUAGAGGCCCCAGUCUGCAUCUUUAUAUGAUUUCCUCCAGCAUUUUUGUAACAUUACAUUGCAUUUUGUAACAUUGCUGAGCCCCUCUUUGAGUAAUUGGCAGAAAAGGCUGAGUCCUCAUAGAAUUGUGUGCUAUUUCUAAAACAUAUCCAUGGUUUAAAAAGCUUUAAGAUCUAUAAACUAAAAUCCACCCAUUUUGCAGGAUGAUUCACAGUGUCGACAGUUUGGAUCAAUUUCCUGAAGAAAGGACAAAACUGGAAGCUAUUCUUUAUGAGAGAAGAGAAUUCCAACCAGUGAGAUGAGAAUUGCACAAAUCCUGCAGCCCAUCUCUGCCACAGCUCAAAAUUGUUGGGUAAGUAAUGACCCAGACCAUUGAAGAAAAUGAGGAAACUGUGCACACAGACUGAUGUCUUAUGUGACCAACAUGCAUAUAAGAAAUGGAAGCUUCCCCCUAUCUUUCCAGAGUUCAAAAAUCCUAUUGCUGAAUUCACCUCCAAUUCCAUGAAACAAUAUAAAAGAUCCUCCAUAAAGACCCCAGGUUAUAAUGUUUACAAUUUAUUUUGUACUCCUUUUCUCUGGUAAUUGAUGACUGCUAUUAUUAAUGAAGACAUUACAAGGAAUAAAAGGGCUUGCCUGCCACUUCUCACCACAAAACCGUGUGGCAUCAAACAGAAUGAAAUCCUUCUGACACUGACAGCUGGAGAAAACCUUGUCACCACAGUGACAGUGUCAAGUGUGGUGUGACAUCUCUGUGUGUGUUUCUUUUGCACCUAAUAACUUCGUUGCCAAUACAGACCAAAAUAAUGAAAGAAAACCUGCUUUUGCCAGCCCAAAGGAUUAACUGUACUGUUGAGAAAACUGCAGGAAUAUUUGACAUGAGAUCACAAUUUUUAAUUCUUUUCCCCCCAGGAUUCUGCAUGAAGUAUUUUUCUAUGAAGGAUUUAAAUAGAAUUACUUUUCCUCACAUUGGUCAUGGAGAGAAUUAAGACAUUAACUGUUGAUCCAAUUUAUACUGCCAUUUGAUCCCAUAAGUGCUAUACAGGACUCGGUUACUCAUGGAAAAUAGUUCCUGCCAGAUCAAACACUCUCAGGGCCAAAGUCACAAGAUUCUGACUUUACAUGCUCUGUUCUGCCUCCUUUCAUUUUGCCUCUUGGAUUGUCAUGAACUUCCUGAGCAAGAAGGCCAUCCACCAUGCAGUGUAAUGUCUUGCUAAGAGAAAUUAGUAUUCAGUCUGCUCAGGUUCCAGCAAGGACUUUCUUCAUGAAGAUCUUCAAGUGGAAUCAAGGUAGGAACUGUUAUCCUUUUCAGUCCUUGUGCUAUUCAUUCACACCUUGGAACAAAAACAAAGCUGAACUCUUUAGAGGGGAAAAUUGAUACCGCAUGGUUUCUGGUGUAUCUGCAACUUUUGGCUCUGGUUUGGAAAAGGGUGUGUAUGUGUCAUGCACACAUGUCUAUUUCAUCCUAUCUGACAAAUACCUUUGUGAAUUGCUUUGUUGACUAUUUGGGUGUUACUGCAGGUUACAAAUUUCUAAGAGGGCUGGGAGACGUCUUUAAAUCCCAUAGGCAUUGGAUCAUGUGUCCUCUAGUGGCCAUGAACACUAGUUUUAGAUGAAAGGUCUCAUUUUCAGAUAAGUAUGAGGAAUACUUUAUUUUCAGCCCUCUCUUUUAAGAGGCAUAAAAUCUUUUAGUGCUGAAAACACUUGUACUACCUAUAAUAAAGAAUUAUGUUUAAGUCAGUGUGUUCCUAAUUUGACUAUGGAAUUCAAACUUCUUGUAAGAGUCCACAGACCAGGUAAGACUUAAAGAUUUGCCAACAUUCAAAACCUCUGAAAAAUAACCCAUUACUUGGCAGCUAGGUGAUCUCCCUCCUAAUUUAUCUGGCUCUAUUUUCUUUUCUCUACCAUCACCAAUAGCAUCUUUCUAAUCCCUCACUCGGAUCUUCUCAUUCCUCCAUUCAUUAGAAUACCAGUUCAUUUCUUCAAUAAACAUGCCAAAUAGGAGUGGCUCUAACAAGACGGGAAGUUUUUUCUGAUGUGACAGUCUGUAUAUUUGCAGUCCAGGACUUGAAUGGUGACAGCAAGAGGACAGAGGCUCCAGGUUCCUUUUGUUUUAGUGCUCUGCCAUGUGUAGGGUGUUUCCCAUCCAAAUGUUCCAAGAUGUCUUACCACUGUGUCUGUAUUCCAGGCAAUGGGAAGGAGGGAAGGUGAAGGGGAGAGAAUUUUCCUUCCUUGCAAGAGCAUCAUCUGCAAGUUGUGUUUCUGCUCACACCCCAUUGACAGAGCUUUAUUGCUUGAUCACAGCUAGCUGCAAACGAGGCUAGGAGAUGUUUUAGUCAGUCUGGUAGCCUUUGUCACACUACAAUUUCUAUGUUAGAGGAGAGAGAGAGAGAACAUAUAUUAGGGAAUAGCUAACCAUCUCUGCUACACCUAUGACCUUCCAUUUGUCUCUUACAAUGAGUUUGUGAAGUUAGAAUUUUUAUCCCAAGUUUUCCACUGAGAAAAAUAAAGCUCAUAAACCUGAAAUAAUUUUAAUAUUGUCACCAUGUUAAGAAUGAUUAAGGGUGUGAAGUUUUGUCUGCUUCCAAGCUAACAAGGGAGCCGCCACAAUUGCAUGGAUUCUUGCAGAAGACACAGAUUCCUGAGUCAGACACAGAGGACUUUAUCACUCAUGGCACAGCAAGCAGCAUCAGCUCCAAUAUUCAUGUAGGUUCUUCUUGUCCUCCAAAUCCUAUGGGGCAUUAGGGGGUGGCCAAGGUAGAUGCUGCAAACGCAGUCGGUUUGCACCAAAGGUGAAAAACCCCGAGCUUAGGAAACUACAAGCUUUUAAAGAGGCUAUAAGGAAACCUGCCCAACUUUUUCCUUAGAAGGAAACCUUUUUUUUAGUAUCCUAGUUAAGAAACAAAUCUCUCUGCUUGAGAGAGGCACGCUACCUCUAACCUCCAAGAAGUUCACCAUACAAAUAUUCUUGGAAGGCAGUCCCAAAUAAAAGUCUCUUUGUUGACAAGGCUUGCAGAAACAUGAGACACCCCUGGACAUUUUUUUUCCCAACACACAGAUAGUCUUGCUAUCUUCAUUACAAUAAAGGUACUUCUUCAAGAAAUCUCCCACUGACCAUGCCUCCAUCAUCAGGGCAGUUCUCACUUUUUAUUGUAAUUGUUCACACCUCUGGAUCUCCAUAUUGGAAUAUCAGUUCCUUGAAGGCAGGGGCUAUGGCUUUGCUUUUAUAUCCCUAGCACCUAACACAUUACUUGGAAUAUGGAACAUGUUCAACAACUAUUUUGAAUGAAGUAUAUUAGAAUAAGAUUUACUUAAGGGAUAGAACAAAUCAGCAAGCAUUACAUGUUAUUGAAUCCACUUGAGGUUCUCUUUGUAUGGAUCCUAGGGUAGGUGGCUAAUUUUUAUGAUUCAGGCCUCAAAUACCACUCCCCUGACCACUGUAUUUAAAACAUCAUUCUAGAUAAGUCUAAUGAUAAGCACUUGUCACUACCUAAUAUUAUUCUGCUUGUUUAUUUAGGUAUCUGACUCCCCUUCUAGAAUAGAAACCCAUGACUUCAAGGACUUGCCUAUCUAGUUCAUGACUAUAUUUCUAUACUCUAAAAUAGUGUCGGGCCUAAAAUAGAAGUUUCAUAGGUAUUUUUGAAUGAAUAAGUGAAUGAGUAAAUUCAGCAAACAUUCACUAAGUUUAUACCAUCUGCUAGGAACAAAAUGUUUUACCAUGUCACAGUGGCCCACAAAGAAUACUGUUACUUUGGACAACUGAAACAAUUCAAUAUCUGGGUUGAGUUGAGUGGCAGCAUCACUUUUGUUGGGGCAGUGAGCUUCCAUUCCUCACUACAGAUAUUCCACUGCUGGCUUGAGCUGGGUCCUGAACACUGUCCUUUCCUGGUCUUGCUGGCGAAGGCAUCCUGUGCCAGCAGGCAGCUUCAUUGCCUUCCUCUCCUCUCCGAGCCCCUACGUAGCCAUCCUGCUUAUCAGGUGCACACAGUUCUGGUCAGGUAGCCUCAGGGAGCCCAUCUGAUUGGCUCUGUGGGUCCCCACACCUCCAAGAACUCCAUGCCUUUCAUAUGAUGCUUAACCAUUUGUUUAUCCUCAUUCUUACCUGGGCAGCAGGUAGCUAUCAGACCCUCUCUCACCUUUCCUUUACUCUUCUUCCACCUCUACUUGAUCUCCUGUAGCAGCCUUGCCCAUGAAGUCAUGCCUGUGGCUCCACUGAGAAAUUCGAUUAAGUAUUCCAAUACUGCUGUGAAACGAAGUGAUCUGAUUCCGGUGAGACAAUUUAUCUUGCAAGGUAUAUCAAUACUCAUUUUAUUCAUUAUUUACCCAUUUCCAAAAAUGAUGUGAAGUGGGAAAAUGUCAAUGUUGAACAACAAAAAUAGUAAAAUCCCUUUGGGGGGAAGAUCAUUAUAAUUUGUUUAAAUGCUGACAAAUAUUGAUAUCAAUGGUAAACGUAGAAGUGGGGCAUGAGGGAAAUUACCAGAGGGAAAUGACUAGGAUAUUUUUCAAGCCAUCAUUGAUUCAAAAUGAAUUAUGAGAGUAGAGCUUUGCAUGGAAAAUUAAAGGCCUAAUACUAAAAAUAAUUAUUAAGCAUUUUCUUACUUUUGUAGAUGAAGAAGUUACCUCAGAGAAGUCAAAUAAUUUACCCAGAGUCACAAAAUAAGCAAAUGAUGGAAUAUUCAAAUCCAGGUCUUCUGACUCUACCUCUAUCUGCCUUAGAGGUUUCUGAAGUAUUGAUAAGAUGGAGGCUGGAAGAGCUUGAAACAGACCAUAUAAAGCCAGGUCUGAGCUGGAAAAGCAAAGAGGCCCAAGGAACAGCACAGACCCUGACUGGUGGGGUAUCUGUGUAUUUUAAAUAACAAAUACAACAAAGAUUCAAGGUUCAGCAUGUACCCAGAUGUUUCCAUUAUUGAUAUAUAUAUGCCAGUUUAAAAUAUUUAAAUGGAAAACAGUUUGUGUCCACUUCAUUUUAGAACUAUGCCAGUUACAGGAAUCACCCCAGUAUCAGUUAUGUCUUACUCAUGUCAAAGAACCAGGGUCAGAAGAAAAAAAUCUCCAGUAAAGAUCCUUGCAACUCAGGAACACUCUUUCCUCUGAAUACUGCUAUGAACUAGAGUUAAAAGAAAGCAUUUUUUAAAAGAAAUGAUUUAUUCGUUCCUCAUGAUAAACAUAUCAAAACAUCACAUUGUACCACAUAAAUAUAUGCAAUUAUUUGGUUAACUGAAAAUAAAA